rnacentral:rRNA from 1 species
UGGGGAAUAUUGGACAAUGGGGGGAACCCUGAUCCAGCCAUGCCGCGUGUGUGAAGAAGGCCUUAUGGUUGUAAAGCACUUUAAGCAGUGAAGAAUACAUCAUGGCUAAUAUCCGUGAUGAAUGACAUUAGCUGCAGAAUAAGCACCGGCUAACUCUGUGCCAGCAGCCGCGGUAAUACAGAGGGUGCGAGCGUUAAUCGGAAUUACUGGGCGUAAAGCGAGCGUAGGUGGUUUAUUAAGUCAGAUGUGAAAUCCCUGGGCUUAACCUAGGAGCUGCAUCUGAUACUGACAAACUAGAGUAGGUGAGAGGAAAGUAGAAUUCCAGGUGUAGCGGUGAAAUGCGUAGAGAUCUGGAGGAAUACCGAUGGCGAAGGCAGCUUUCUGGCAUCAUACUGACACUGAGGUUCGAAAGCGUGGGUAGCAAACAGGAUUAGAUACCCUGGUAGUCCACGCCGUAAACGAUGUCUACCAGUCGUUGGGUCUUUUAAAGACUUAGUGACGCAGUUAACGCGAUAAGUAGACCGCCUGGGGAGUACGGCCGCAAGGUUA